rnacentral:lncRNA from 1 species
AGCACUCUUAUAAAUCAAACAAAGAGUAUGCGAUGGAUUAGAUAAAGAAAAUGAAAUUAGAAUAAAGAAAAGAUUUAAGCACAUUGGAAAUGAAUAAAUAGCGGAAAUAAAAAGAGAUAAGGGAUAAGAGAAUUGCACUAGAUAUCUAUAGAGGUUCGACCUAACCACUUGACAUACUCAUCUCCACUAUAGAUGUGAGUUUUUC